CUCCAAGGCAGACAGAAAACAGACACAGUACAGAGGGCCGCAACUCUUCUAGGGUUUCAUCCCUUUCUUCCUCAAUGUUGACCCUGAACCUGAGUCCUAGAAGCUGUUUGUCAGGUGCUGCACUAGGACUUGAAGCUAGAUAAAGGUACAGAUUCCACACCUGCCAUCAAGGUCAUAAGAAAAGUGUCUUUCAGAAACCCUGCCAAACCACCCUAGUAAAGAAGAAAUUGAGAAGAUGAACCUUAAGCCUGAGAAGAUGAAUUCCAGGUGCCCUCCAGCCCCCACGUUGAAUAUCCCACAAUUCGGGCACAAAACUGCAGUAUGCCCAUUGAAGUCAGUAUGGUAGCAAGAGGCUAUAAUCACAAUUCUUCAAUUUAUUCACAGUGAUGAUUUCCUAGACCUUGAUAUUUCUGCAGCAAUUCAGCUAUCCAACAUAAAGACACAUGAGAAAGAGUGAUAUUGUAGUAUUUAUCUUUGCAGUGGUUCUGAGAAGAUUCUAAUAGGCAAAAGAUGGUAUCAGAGAGAAUGGUGAAGCACAAAACAGGGUAGCAGUGGCUAUGCAUUUUCAGCAAAAGAUAAAUGACACACACAAGGAAUGUCUAGCAGGUGGCAAGAAAAUUAGGUCUGGUUUUCCAACAAUAAAAUGCAACUAAAGAGCAAGUAUUGGUGGCAAUUUUAUCCUUACACAAUAUGAAGAAACAGUUCUAAACUAUUUUGUUGGUGAGAAAAUGUAUGCUGAGACAGAUCAAGUAAAGGCUAGGUAGUGAGAAGACAAUGCCAGGACUCUUCCUGAGUCUCCUUCACGAUCAAGCUGACAACUCUCUUAUCAGCCAAAUCACGGGCCUCUGCCCAGUAAUGUCAAUUCGUUCCAGGGAGAAGAGAAAGGAUGGCUUUGUCAAAAACGAAGAUAGAGACGGAGACACUCGUGAGAAGCUGGGAUCCUGGCUCUGCCAAAGUACAGACAGCUAUCUAAGGAAGGAAGAAAGGGGCUGCUGCAGCUCGUGCAGAUGCGCCCAUCUUUGGAAAGUGUGCUCCAGGGAAACCAAUCUUUUCUGCUUGUACCACUGUGGCUAAAUCAAGACAGCACCAUACUUGUCCUGGGGAUGACAGCCCUGACCUGGGUACACAUUCUAAGCAUAGGCAAGCUGCAGUCACAAGGGUUGGAAUAUUAUUAGUUUCACUCUGUUUCAGCUCCAGAUUUCUCUGUGAAUCGUGUGUGCAUGAAUCACAGCCGCCACUCCUCAUAUUUAGA